rnacentral:rRNA from 1 species
UAAGGAAUCUUCGGCAAUGGACGAAAGUCUGACCGAGCAACGCCGCGUGAGUGAAGAAGGUUUUCGGAUCGUAAAACUCUGUUGUUAGAGAAGAACAAGGGUGAGAGUAACUGUUCACCCCUUGACGGUAUCUAACCAGAAAGCCACGGCUAACUACGUGCCAG